UCAUCCCAGAGACCAAGGACAAUACGUGAAGUUGCUCUCAGAGGACAAGAUCCCUGUGCACACAGCUGACAUGGCCUCCUGGCUGACUUUAAUGUCAUGAUGGAGUCCUCGGAAUGAAAGAGCAGCUGGGAAAAGGAUAGCAAAUGGAAGUGCAGCCACACCCAAACUCAGCAAUAUGUCUAUCUCCAUUGUGGAUUUGACCUCCAUACCUCUUCUUUACUGCCAUCUUUGGAGCCUUUUGUGGUUUGUAAUUUUACAUGGCAGUAGACAGCCUCUUAUAUGAUUCCAUUGAAGCCAGUCAUUGGCUGGCUAGUCAGAAAGUCCUAGGAAUUCCUGGAGGCUUCUCAAGGCUGCCUGUGUCACUCUUUUUGCAAAGACAACAAAACGACAAAACAGAUCAGCAGAGGGUGAUCUGCCAGCAUAACCAAUGAGAUGCAACCCCCUCCAACCGGCCUGUCAUCACGAAGCCGUUCUCUGUUUCUAAAAUAAGCCCUGAAAUCACUGCCUUCCUGCAUCUGCACUUCUUCCUCAGAAAGAGAGAUGUUCUCCCAACUCACAGGAAAUUUAAAUAUAGAACAAGGUGAGCACAUAGAAGAUGGUGAAAAGAUACACAAGUGGAAGGUUUCUGGAAGAGUAUGUGAACUUGAGAACUUCAGCAUCCUAAGAAUUUGCAGACAUUGGCGAGGAGGAAGAGUCUUGGACUACCUACACGUCAUGAAAUGGUGUGUUUGAAGCCAAUUGUCCUGUUGAGAUCGUACAAGAGGAGGUCACUGUAGCUGACACCAGGAUUACAUAAAUUUGAGACACCUCAUUCACUUUACAGAUAAUUUUCUAAUGUAAAAUGCAUACGUCUUUUAAAAAGACAAAUGAAUCAAAAAUGGUAUUAUUAAAAUAAAUUAUGACAUGCAUAUAAGAUGGAGUGUCAUUAAAAUAUAGGAAGGACAUUAUUGUCAUCUUCCCGAAGUUGUCAUAGGGCAUGGCCGAGCAGGAGUGACUAUGGGCCCUGUCAGGGCGUCAGCCCAGGUGUCACUGACCGGUGUGGAGUCCUUGCCUCAUGGCAGCAGAACAGCUGUCAGCUCAGCCCGAGUUGCCUGGAGGUGGUGAGCAAGGUCCCAGGGUCCUGUCUGAGUAUUUGGGCCAGGUAGGGAGGGCCUUGAACUGAGCAAACUCCUAGAUACCGGGCUGGGACAGUUUGUGCAGCCCUUACUAUAUAAAUGCACAUAUUGUAUAACAAUACAUUUAUCAAUGUAUUAAAAAUACUUCUUAUUAAUAGUGGGCUUUGAAAUAAUUUUAUUUUUUGUUUUGGUUACU